GAUGAACGCCGGCGGCGUGCCUAAUACAUGCAAGUCGAGCGAACAGAUGAGGAGCUUGCUCCUCUGACGUUAGCGGCGGACGGGUGAGUAACACGUGGAUAACCUACCUAUAAGACUGGGAUAACUUCGGGAAACCGGAGCUAAUACCGGAUAAUAUAUUGAACCGCAUGGCUCAAUAGUGAAAGACGGUUUUGCUGUCACUUAUAGAUGGAUCCGCGCCGCAUUAGCUAGUUGGUAAGGUAACGGCUUACCAAGGCGACGAUGCGUAGCCGACCUGAGAGGGGGGACAGGCACACGGGGACGAGAGACCGGAUCCGACUCCGAGGGGGGGCAGGAGGAAGGGUAUCUCCCGAAGGGGGGAAAGGUGGGACGGAGAAGCGCGGGGGGAGGAAGAAAGUUUUUGGGAUCUAAAAACUUGGUUAUGGGGGAAAAAAAAAUGUGUAAGUAACUAUGCACGCCUGGACGGUACCUAAUCAGAAAGCCACGCCAAACUCGGGC
rnacentral:rRNA from 1 species